rnacentral:rRNA from 1 species
AGAGUUUGAUCCGUGGCUCGAGGACGAACGCUGGCGGCGUGCUUAACACAUGCAAGUCGAACGAGAAUCUGUGGAAGGAGUUUUCGGACAACGGAAGCAGAGGAAAGUGGCGGACGGGUGAGUAACGCGUGAGGAACCUGCCUUGGAGAGGGGGACAACAGCUGGAAACGACCGCUAAUACCGCAUGAAGCAUCGGGGUCGCAUGGCCUUGAUGUUAAAGAUUUAUCGCUGAAAGAUGGGCUCGCGUCUGAUUAGAUAGUUGGCGGGGUAACGGCCCACCAAGUCGACGAUCAGUAGCCGGACUGAGAGGUUGAACGGCCACAUUGGGACUGAGAUACGGCCCAGACUCC